rnacentral:rRNA from 1 species
GAUGAACGCUGGCGGCGUGCCUAAUACAUGCAAGUCGAGCGAACAGACGAGGAGCUUGCUCCUCUGACGUUAGCGGCGGACGGGUGAGUAACACGUGGAUAACCUACCUAUAAGACUGGGAUAACUUCGGGAAACCGGAGCUAAUACCGGAUAAUAUAUUGAGCCGCAUGGUUCAAUAGUGAAAGACGGUUUUGCUGUCACUUCUAGAUGGAUCCGCGCCGCAUUAGCUAGUUGGUAAGGUAACGGCUUACCAAGGCAACGAUGCGUAGCCGACCUGAGAGGGUGGUCGGCCACACGGGAACUGAGACACGGUCCAGACUCCUACGGGAGGCAGCAGUAGGGAAUCUUCCGCAAUGGGCGAAAGCCUGACGGAGCAACGCCGCGUGAGUGAUGAAGGUCUUCGGAUCGUAAAACUCUGUUAUUAGGGAAGAACAAAUGUGUAAGUAACUAUGCACGUCUUGACGGUACCUAAUCAGAAAGCCACGGCUAACUACGUG